UUGAAAAUUUUGAAAAUAAGCGCCGUUACAUCUCUAUUUUUUCAUUGGUUCAAAAUUCAAAUUCGAUUCCAGGUCAUGGAAGGCAAUAUUGAGUAUUUAUAUAACGAGGAGGACGUUUCAAAGAAAUAUGAUAUAGGUUACCAAGAUGAUUUCGAUGAGAAGGCUGACCUGGUGAACAAUCUAUACGAACUCAAAAGAUAGGAAACAUUUCCUGGUUUAGAGAAGAACACCACACAUUUGUUCUUUUGUUGGUUAGGAAAUACAAGUUGACGUUGGAAAGGAAACUAAAU